CCAAACCAGUUGUGCCUGUAGA
rnacentral:miRNA from 1 species